rnacentral:rRNA from 1 species
GUGGGGAAUAUUGGGCAAUGGGCGAAAGCCUGACCCAGCAACGCCGCGUGAGGGAAGAAGGCCUUCGGGUUGUAAACCUCUGUCCUUGGUGACGAAAAAAAUGACGGUAGCCAAGGAGGAAGCCCCGGCUAACUACGUGCCAGCAGCCGCGGUAAUACGUAGGGGGCGAGCGUUGUCCGGAAUUACUGGGCGUAAAGGGUGCGUAGGUGGCCUUUUAAGUUGGAUGUGAAAUACCCGGGCUUAACUUGGGGGGUGCAUCUAAUACUGGAGGGCUAGAGUGCAGGAGAGGGAAGCGGAAUUCCUAGUGUAGCGGUGAAAUGCGUAGAUAUUAGGAGGAACACCAGUGGCGAAGGCGGCUUCCUGGCACAAUACUGACGCUCAUGUGCGAAAGCUAGGGCAGCGAACGGGAUUAGAAACCCCUGUAGUCC